rnacentral:rRNA from 1 species
GCCUACGGGGGGCAGCAGUGGGGAAUAUUGCACAAUGGGGGAAACCCUGAUGCAGCGACGCCGCGUGAGCGAAGAAGUAUUUCGGUAUGUAAAGCUCUAUCAGCAGGGAAGAAAAUGACGGUACCUGACUAAGAAGCUCCGGCUAAAUACGUGCCAGCAGCCGCGGUAAUACGUAUGGAGCAAGCGUUAUCCGGAUUUACUGGGUGUAGAGGGUGCGUAGACGGGUAUACAAGUUAGUAGUGAAAUCCCUCGGCUUAACUGAGGAACUGCUACUAAAACUAUAUAUCUUGAGUACUGGAGGGGAA